rnacentral:rRNA from 1 species
AACGAACGCUGGCGGCGGGCCUCAUACAUGCAAGUCGAGCGCGAAAGUCCUUCGGAGUGAGUAAAGACGGCGCACGGGUGAGUAACACGUGGAUAAUCUACCCCUUCGGUAUUGGAAUAACCUGUCGAAAGACGGGCUAAUGCCGAGUGAGCUUACGAGGUCGUGAUGGCCUUGUACGGAAGAUGGCGCAAGCUAUCGCCGAGGGAUGAGUCUGCGUCCCAUUAGUUAGUUGGUGAGGUAAUGGCUUACCAAGACAAUGAUGGGUACCUGGUCUGAGAGGAUGAUCAGGCACACUGGAACUGAAACACGGUCCAGACUCCUACGGGAGGCAGCAGUA